rnacentral:rRNA from 1 species
GAGUUUGAUCAUGGCUCAGAACGUACGCUGGCGGCACGCCUAACACAUGCAAGUCGAACGAAGUAGCAAUACUUAGUGGCAGACGGGUGAGUAACAUGUAGGUAUCUGCCCUUUGGCCUGGAAUAACACGAGGAAACUUGUGCUAAUACCGGAUAAGUCUUUACGGAGAAAGCUUUAUGCACCAUUGGAUGAGCCUGCACUUGAUUAGUUUGUUGGUGGGGUAAUGGCCUACCAAGACUGUGAUCAAUAGCUGAUUUGAGAGGAUGAUCAGCCACAUUGGGACUGAGACACGGCCCAAACUCCUACGGGAGGCAGCAGUGGGGAAUCUUGCACAAUGGAGGAAACUCUGAUGCAGCGAUGCCGCGUGAGUGAAGAAGGCCCUUGGGUUGUAAAGCUCUUUCGUCGGGGAAGAAAAUGACUGUACCCGAAUAAGAAGGUCCGGCUAACUUCGUGCCAGCAGCCGCGGUAAUACGAAGGGACCUAGCGUAGUUCGGAAUUACUGGGCUUAAAGAGUUCGUAGGUGGUUGAAAAAGUUGGUGGUGAAAUCCCAGAGCUUAACUCUGGAACUGCCAUCAAAACUUUUCAGCUAGAGUAUGAUAGAGGAAAGCAGAAUUUCUAGUGUAGAGGUGAAAUUCGUAGAUAUUAGAAAGAAUACCAAUUGCGAAGGCAGCUUUCUGGAUCAUUACUGACACUGAGGAACGAAAGCAUGGGUAGCGAAGAGGAUUAGAUACCCUCGUAGUCCAUGCCGUAAACGAUGUGUGUUAGACGUUGGAAAUUUAUUUUCAGUGUCGCAGCGAAAGCGAUAAACACACCGCCUGGGGAGUACGACCGCAAGGUUAAAACUCAAAUGAAUUGACGGGGGCCCGCACAAGUAGUGGAGCAUGUGGUUUAAUUCGAAGAUACGCGCAGAACCUUACCAACACUUGACAUGUUCGUCGCGACUUUAAGAGAUUAAAGUUUUCGGUUCGGCCGGACGAAACACAGGUGCUGCAUGGCUGUCGUCAGCUCGUGUCGUGAGAUGUUGGGUUAAGUCCCGCAACGAGCGCAACCCUCACUUUUAGUUGCCAUCAUUUAGUUGGGCACUCUGAAAGAACUGCCAGUGAUAAGCUGGAGGAAGGUGGGGAUGACGUCAAGUCCUCAUGGCCCUUACGUGUUGGGCUACACACGUGCUACAAUGGUAUCUACAACAGGAAGCAAAACCGCGAGGUUAAGCAAAUCCUUAAAAGAUACCUCAGUUCGGAUUGCACUCUGCAACUCGAGUGCAUGAAGCUGGAAUUACUAGUAAUCGUGGAUCAGCGUGCCACGGUGAAUGCGU